rnacentral:rRNA from 1 species
GACGAACGCUGGCGGCGUGCUUAACACAUGCAAGUCGAACGGAAAGGCCCUGCUUUUGUGGGGUGCUCGGGGGGCGAACGGGGGAGUAACACGUGAGUAACCUACACUUGCCUUUGGGAUAACUUAAGGAAACUGGGGCUAAUACCGGAUAGGAGCUCCUGCUGCUGGGUGGGGGUUGGUAAGUUUCGGCGGUUGGGGAUGGACUAGCGGCUUAUCAGCUUGUUGGUGGGGUAGUGGCUUACCAAGGCUUUGACGGGUAGCCGGCCUGAGAGGGUGACCGGCCACACUGGGACUGAGAUACGGCCCAGACUCCUACGGGAGGCAGCAGUGGAGAAUAUUGCACAAUGGGCGGAAGCCUGAUGCAGCAACGCCGCGUGCGGGAUGACGGCCUUCGGGUUGUAAACCGCUUUCGCCUGUGACGAAGCGUGAGUGACGGUAAUGGGUAAAGAAGCACCGGCUAACUACGUG